UCGAGGGGCAGCACAGGUAGCAAUACUAGGUGGCGACCGGCGCACGGGUGAGUAACGCGUAUGCAACCUACCCUGUACAGGGGGAUAGCCCGGAGAAAUUCGGAUUAAUACCCCAUUGUGAUACUGAGAGGCAUCUCUUGGGUUCUAAAGAUUUAUCGGUACAGGUUGGGCAUGCGUGCCAUUAGGUAGUUGGUAAGGUAACGGCUUACCAAGCCAUCGAUGGCUACGGGGUCUAAAAGGAUGGUCCCGCACACUGGUAUUGAGACACGGACCAGACUCC
rnacentral:rRNA from 1 species